GCUUGAUGCUGGUUUCAUCUCUGACAUAGCUCCAACAAUGAGCGCACAUUUCCUGAAUUUGGACCUGAACCGUGCAGGUUUCUUGGCUCUUUGGAUCUCCAGGGACUUGAAUUUAGAUCAGUAUCUGAUCGACUUCGAGGUGCCAGAUAGGUCUUAUGCUGCCUUCCCGGGACGGGAUGAAGGUGGCUGUCUGCAUACUUGCAUAGGCUCCUCGUCAGCAAGCUAUGCUUCGGCCUGGUGCUUCUCCUCACUGUGCCGAUCAUUGUUUUGUUACUGGAAGGAGCCCCACUCCUCAAAAUCUUCAGCACAACACCGGAGCAAUUAAAAGUUCUCUCUCAUGGCAUCCUACAGCAGCAGGAGAAGGAACAUCUUGGAGAUGAUAGAGCAAGUCUAACUGGAUUUCCAGGUCCAGCUUCCAGGAGCCACACGCACAAAAGUAGGGACAAAGUGAACAAAGGUAAUUCCUUAUGCAAUGUCUUACUCUUCAUUUGUUGUCUUUUUCAUUUCCUCCACUGCUGUUUCAUGCCUGCUGGCUUACCUCAAGCUUACAAGGUCUAACUUCUUAAAAAGGUAUUUUAGUUCCAUUUUCUCUGUGCAUCUUGUUGAAAUCUGGAGUUCUUCAAACAUAUUUUUGUGGAUCUCUGUGGAUACGUUGUCAUUUUGCAGCUCUGUGUUAUUGCUUAAUCAACCUACUUGAAUACUGGUC